CAACCGUAAAAUUGCCAUUGAAACUGGCGAACUUGAGUACAGUAGAGGUAGGCGGAAUUCGUGGUGUAGCGGUGAAAUGCUUAGAUAUCACGAAGAACUCCGAUUGCGAAGGCAGCUUGCUGGACUGUAACUGACGCUGAGGCACGAAAGCGUGGGGAUCAAACAGGAUUAGAUACCCUGGUAGUCCACGCCGUAAACGAUGAAUGCUAGCUGUUAGCGAUAUACUGUUAGCGGCACAGAGAAAUCGUUAAGCAUUCCACCUGGGGAGUACGCCGGCAACGGUGAAACUCAAAGGAAUUGACGGGGGCCCGCACAAGCGGAGGAACAUGUGGUUUAAUUCGAUGAUACGCGAGGAACCUUACCUGGGCUUAAAUUGCAGUGGAAUAACGUGGAAACAUGUUAGCCUUCGGGCCGCUGUGAAGGUGCUGCAUGGUUGUCGUCAGCUCGUGCCGUGAGGUGUCGGCUUAAGUGCCAUAACGAGCGCAACCCUCAUCGAUAGUUACUAACAGGUUAAGCUGAGGACUCUAUCGAGACUGCCGACGUAAGUCGUGAGGAAGGUGGGGAUGACGUCAAAUCAGCACGGCCCUUACGUCCAGGGCUACACACGUGUUACAAUGGGGGGUACAAAGGGCAGCUACCUGGCGACAGGAUGCUAAUCUCAAAAACCUCUCUCAGUUCGGAUUGGAGUCUGCAACCCGACUCCAUGAAGCUGGAUUCGCUAGUAAUCGCGCAUCAGCCACGGCGCGGUGAAUACGUUCCCGGGCCUUGUACACACCGCCCGUCAAGCCAUGGGAGCCGGGGGGACCUGAAGUAUGCAACCGUAAGGAGCGUCCUAGGGUAAAACUGGUGACUGGGGCUAAGUCGUAACAAGGUACC
rnacentral:rRNA from 1 species